rnacentral:rRNA from 1 species
UGGGGAAUUUUGGACAAUGGGCGCAAGCCUGAUCCAGCCAUGCCGCGUGCGGGAAGAAGGCCUUCGGGUUGUAAACCGCUUUUGUCAGGGAAGAAAUCUUCUGAGUUAAUACCUCGGGAGGAUGACGGUACCUGAAGAAUAAGCACCGGCUAACUACGUGCCAGCAGCCGCGGUAAUACGUAGGGUGCAAAGCGUUAAUCGGAAUUACUGGGCGUAAAGCGUGCGCAGGCGGUUUUGUAAGACAGAGGUGAAAUCCCCGGGCUCAACCUGGGAACUGCCUUUGUGACUGCAAGGCUUGAGUGCGGCAGAGGGGGGAUGGAAUUCCGCGUGUAGCAGUGAAAUGCGUAGAUAUGCGGAGGAACACCGAUGGGAAGGCAAUCCCCUGGGCCUGCACUGACGCUCAUGCACGAAAGCGUGGGGAGCAAACAGGAUUAGAUGCCCUGGUAGUCCACGCCCUAAAACGAUGUCAACUGGUUGUU